rnacentral:misc_RNA from 1 species
GCAAACUUGGUCAUUUAGAGGAAGUAAAAGUCGUAACAAGGUUUCCGUAGGUGAACCUGCGGAAGGAUCAUUAUAGUAUAUGGAAUACCCAUUCUAUAAACCCACUCUGUGUAUCUGUUACUGUUGCUUCCAUGGGACAUGAACUUGUUCACAUCGGCCUUUUGGCUGGUGAGCUCCCAUGGGAGGAUACAUAAACUCUUCUUUGAAGUGAAGUUAGUCUGAAAAUGAUUUUAUAAAAGUUAAAACUUUCAACAACGGAUCUCUUGGUUCUCGCAUCGAUGAAGAACGCAGC